UACGUAGGGGGCGAGCGUUGUCCGGAUUUAUUGGGCGUAAAGAGCUCGUAGGCGGUUUGGCAAGUCGGGUGUGAAAACUCCGGGCUCAACUCGGAGACGCCACUCGAUACUGCCAUGACUCGAGUCCGGUAGGGGAGUGCGGAAUUCCUGGUGUAGCGGUGAAAUGCGCAGAUAUCAGGAGGAACACCGAUGGCGAAGGCAGAUCUCUGGGCCGUAACUGACGCUGAGGAGCGAAAGCAUGGGGAGCGAACAGG
rnacentral:rRNA from 1 species